rnacentral:snoRNA from 1 species
CGGCAGCCAAUUGAGCCAACCAGGAAGGUCCCUUUGCCCCAUGGGGGGGCCUGGCGUGCUAUGGUUGCACAGAGCAACCUUUUACCUAUGUGGUUGUCCUAAAGGAAGUAGGAAACAAUU